UAGCGUUAAACCCAUACAAUCCUAGGAAUAAUUGCUUUCAGGGGCCUUAAAUCGCCUGAAAUUUUACGUGAAGUUUAAAUAUCGAUUAGAUAUUCGGCCCUAUGCAGUAUCUACGUUGACUUGAAGUCAAGGUUGAAAUUAUGACAUAAAAAAGAUAUUUGACAGAAAUUUCAAUUAAUGUUGAAAUUUGGUAUGCAGGAUGGCCUUCUAAUCAAUAACUGAAAUGAAGACAUUUCAAGAAAUUGACCUGAAGUCAAGCGACCUUGUACAUUUCAAGAAUCCCUAUGCACUAAGGGAAAACUUGAAAUUAAAUUACAAGUCAAGAUUGAAAAAAGUCAAUAUUUUUAACGUAAAUAAAAACUAGCCCGAUAACAAAUUUGAAAUGAUCUCAAAUUCAAAUAACUAACCUAAAAAAAUUGUUUUUUGACGUCACGUAGUGUUUUGCUUCUUUGUUUCAAGUUUUUCGAAAAAAAAAGACAUAAAAAUGGAUUUAAUUUUGUAUGUUCAAUUAACUGAAAAUGAAAUUCGGAGGUAAGUACAUUAAAUUUAUUACUGGAUUCGUGCUGGAUCCUUUUGCUUCGUCCUAUAAAUAGAAACGAAAUCUUGUGGUCCUCUCCUUUGAUCCCUUUAAAAAUGUUGAUCCUUCAAAUACUUACUUACCUCCCUACCUAAAAUUUGUUUAAUGAUCCUUUGCCAGUACGUCAUAAAGGUAGCUCCAGAAAAUUUCAUAAUACCUAGGUAGCACGUUUAAUAACGACAAAAGAUAAUUAAUCAAACUUUAACUUUACAUCCUGCUGUAGCAUAGAUUUACAUUUACGUAUAUCUACUACCUACGUAGUAUAUCUAUGGCCUGUAGUAUAGUGCCAAAGAAAAAAAAAAGAUACAUUUAAAUAUAACAAACUGCAACUUACUCCUUUUCUAGACGCGAUUGAAAUAUACAUCGAAGACAACUAAGAGAUUUAAGUGAUCCGUUAUCUUUACCUGAGAGAACUUUUAAAGAAGUUUAUAGAGUAUCAAAGGAAUUAGGUCAGUGGUGAUAAAACCAGAUUGGACCUCAUAUGCGAGAUUCCGAGAGCUACAGCCAGCCCUAAAGCCCUAAGGCUUUUUGCAUCUUUACAUUUUUUGUCUCAAGGAUCUUAUCAAAGAGGAAUAGGUCAGGACUACUUAACUAACAUGCACCAGACUUCUGUUAGCCGAUGUCUCUCAGAAGUAACCGAUCUUAUAGUGGAUAUACUUGGAUACAUCAUAAAAUUUCCUGAAACUGAGGAAGAAAAGAAUCGGGAGAAGCAAUUGUUUAUGGAAAUGGGUGCAUUUCCUGGAAUAAUAGGGUGUAUUGAUUACACCCAAAUAGCAAUAUGAGCCCCCAAACCGGAGGAUCAUGAAAUGCCUGGGGUGAUAUUCUAUUGCAGAAAGCAAUUUUAUAGUUUAAAUGUCCAGAUUGUUUGUAAUGCAAAAUUAAAAAUUUUGAAUAUUAAUGCCAGAUUUCCAGGAUCGGUUCAUGAUUCUGCCAUAUGGCAGACAUCACUAGUUAGGCAACAUUUGGCCAAUAAUUUUUUUCAAAAUAGAAACAAUUUGACAUAUUUGUUAGGAGAUUCUGGUUACCCUCUGGAACCAUGGCUUCUUACACCAAUUGCCAAUCCUGUAACGAAUAAUGAAAGGGAAUAUAAUCGCCGCCAUAAAUCAGAAAGACCGUGGAAAGACCGUGGAAAGAACCAAUGGACUGUUAAAACAGCGAUUUAGAUGCUGUCUUAAACACAGGACGUUGCAUUACUCUCCGCAGCGGUCUGCGAAAAUUAUAUAUUCCUCUGCUAUCCUGCACAAUUUAUGCAUUGACCGGAAUGAAAAUUUGGAUGAUUGUAAU
rnacentral:lncRNA from 1 species